GUCACUAGGGGACACUGAGAAACAUGGGGACACUGAGAGACAUGGGGACACUGGGAGACUUGAGGACACUGAGACUAUGUAUAACAGUGACUCAGUGCCCCAUGUCUCCCAGUGUCCCCAUGUCUCUGUGUCCCCAUGUUGCCCAGUGUCCCCUAGUAUCU